rnacentral:tRNA from 1 species
GGAGACUUACCCAAGCGGCUGAAGGGUUCGGUCUUGAAAACCGAGAGGUGCUUUAUAAGCACGCGAGGGUUCGAAUCCCUCAGUCUCCG